rnacentral:rRNA from 1 species
GUGAUCCGGUGGUUCUGUAUGGAAGGGCCAUCGCUCAACGGAUAAAAGGUACUCCGGGGAUAACAGGCUGAUACCGCCCAAGAGUUCAUAUCGACGGCGGUGUUUGGCACCUCGAUGUCGGCUCAUCACAUCCUGGGGCUGAAGCCGGUCCCAAGGGUAUGGCUGUUCGCCAUUUAAAGUGGUACGCGAGCUGGGUUUAGAACGUCGUGAGACAGUUCGGUCCCUAUCUGCCGUGGACGUUUGAGAUUUGAGAGGGGCUGCUCCUAGUACGAGAGGACCGGAGUGGACGAACCUCUGGUGUUCCGGUUGUCACGCCAGUGGCAUUGCCGGGUAGCUAUGUUCGGAAGAGAUAACCGCUGAAAGCAUCUAAGCGGGAAACUUGCCUCAAGAUGAGAUCUCACUGGGAUCUAGAAUCCCCUGAAGGGCCGUCGAAGACUACGACGUUGAUAGGUGGGGUGUGUAAGCGCUGUGAGGCGUUGAGCUAACCCAUACUAAUUGCCCGUGAGGCUUGACCAU